rnacentral:rRNA from 1 species
AGUGAACGCUGGCGGCGUGCCUAAUACAUGCAAGUCGAACGGAGAUUAAGUAGCUUGCUAUUUAAUCUUAGUGGCGCACGGGUGAGUAAUAUAUAGCUAACUUGCCCAUUACUAAGGGACAACAGUUGGAAACGACUGCUAAUACCUUAUACUCCGUAUCUAUAUAAGUAGAUACGGGAAAGUUUUUCGGUAAUGGAUAGGGCUAUAUCGUAUCAGCUAGUUGGUAAGGUAAUGGCUUACCAAGGCUAUGACGCGUAACUGGUCUGAGAGGAUGAUCAGUCACACUGGAACUGAGACACGGUCCAGACUCCUACGGGAGGCAGCAGUAGGGAAUAUUGCUCAAUGGGGGAAACACGGAAGCAGCAACGCCGCGUGGAGGAUGACACUUUUCGGAGCGUAAACUCCUUUUCUUGGGAAAGAAUUAUGACGGUACCCAAGGAAUAAGCACCGGCUAACUCCGUG